AGGAAAUGUUAAUUUAUGUCGAUAAGUAUUUUUUUUAUCAAGUCAAGUGAAUGUUGGAGGUAUACGUAAUCCCGAAGAAACUCUGACGACUUGCGAGAAUUUUUGGUGAACAUUCCGUAUUAGGAAUUUCCAGGAAUGUAACAGGUUUUAUUCCUGAAAAUUCCUGCAAUGAUUUCCAAGUUAACUUUCUUGGGUCCUUUGGAAGAAAAAUUUUUUUUUUCAGAAAAGAUUUAGUAAGAUUGUGGUAUAUAUUGUUUAAUUCGGAUGUGGGAUUAUAGGCAAAUUUCGGUGGAAAUGCUUUAACAUUUUAAUAUUAAGCUUCCGAUUAAUUCCUGAAGCAUUUCUGGUACAACUCCUCCAGGAUUUCUCUGGGAAUUUCUCCAGGAUUUGACUGGGAAUAGCUACAUAAAUUAUUCAAAAAUCCCCUCCAGAACUUCCAUGAAAUUUACUUCAGGAGUUCCCCUAGAAGUCCUUCAGCAAUGAUGCAUGGUUCUCUCAGGAUUUCCCUGGAGUUUUUCCCGUUUUUUUUUUCAAAAUUCCUAAAGAAGCCCCUCCGAUAUAUUUCCAAGAGUUCGCAAAACAUUCCGGAUUUUUUUCCAGAAGUUAGUCGGGAACUCCUAUAGGAUGGUUUCGGAAAUUCCUCCAGCAGUACCUCAGAAAUUCCUUUAGAAGUUCCUCGGGAAUUCCUACAAGAAAUCCUCGGGAAUUCCUCUAGGAAUGUGUUCCUAGAGGAAUUCGAAUUCUUCCAGGAGGACCUCGGGCAUUCCUUCAGGAAAGCAUCGGGAAUUCCUCCAGAAGAUUCUUGGGAAACCCUCCUGGAGAUCGUCGGGAAAAUUUCUCAAAGAGUUUCUUAUGAUUUCCACCAGAAGUCCUUCGGGUACUCCACCAGAAAUUCUACGGGAAUUCCUCCAUAAGUUUCCCGAGAAUUCUGACAGGAGUUUCUCAGACAUUCCUCUAUGAGUUCCUCGGAAAUUUCUUCAGGAGUUCAUACAGGAAUUCCUGAGUUCUUCGGGAAUUCAUUCAGGAGAUCUUUGGGAACCCUUGCAGAAGAUCGUCGAAAAACCUUCCAGGAGAUCCUUGGUGAUCCUCCAGUAAAUUCACGAGAAUUCAUCCGGGAUAUCCUCGGCGAUUUUUCCAGGAGUUCUUCGGAAUUUCUCCAGCAGAUCCUCGAGAGUUUAUCGGAAAUUCCCCUAGGAUUUAAUCGAAAAUUCCUCUAGGAAUUUCUUUAAAAGUUUCUUGGGAAUAACUCCAGGAAUUCUUGAGAAUUUCUUCAGCAUUCUUCCUCGGCAAUUUUCUCUGAGAUUCAUCGGGAAUUCCUCUGGGAGUUGAGUGUUUCUAGGAAAUCCCUCCAAGAGAAUUCCUUCAGAGUUCCUGAAGAUUUUUUUUGCAAUCCCUCGGGAAUUUCUCUAGAUUUUCCAGAUACCUACUGCAGGAGAUUUCCUGAGAAUAUUCUGGAGUUAUUCAUAGGAACAUCCAGUGGAUCUUCUGAUAAACUCCUCAAACAAUUCUUGAUAAUCUCCUGGAAGAAUUGCCGAGAAAAUUCUAGAAGGCUUCUCGAGGGACUCCUGGGAGAACUCCCACGGAUUUCCUAGAGAAAUUUCCCUGGAACUUCUUUGGGAAUUCUUGAGAUACUCCUGGAGGUAUACCCAAGAAUCUCCAGAAGAAAUUCCCGAGGAAUUUUCGUAGAACUCCUGGAUGAGUUCCUUUUGCUGAAGAUAUUCCCGAGGAUCCCCCAAAGGAGUUCUCGAGGAACUCCAGAAGAAAUUCUCGCAGAAAUCCUGGAAAAAUUUCCGAGGAACUCUUAGAGGUAUACCCGAGAAUCUCUUGAAGAGAUUUCCGAAUGACUCCUGGAAGAAUCCUCUAGAAACUCGUAGAGAAAAUCCCGAGGAACUACUGGAAAAAUACCCGAUAAAAUUCUGGAGGAAUUCACGAAGAACUUCUGAAGAGAUUCCCGAUGAAUUUCAGGAGGGAUUGAACUCCUGGAGGCAUUCUCGAGGAAAUUCUGGAGGGACUCUGAGGAAUACAUGGAGAAAUUUCCUAGGAACUCCUGGAGGAAUUCCAGAGGAUCUGCUAGAGGAAUUCUCAAUCCUAGUAGCACACAUGUUCUCCAUAGGUAAUUUUAUAUUACCAAAUUUAGUCAUACUAUAGUUAAAUACACUUGUAUAGAACAUGUGUGCUGCUCCGGAAGCAAUUCUUGAAGGUAUUCCCGAGGAACUCCUGAAUAAAUUCUCAGCAAACUCCUGAAGUAAUUCCCGAAAAACUCCUGGGGGAAUUCCCUAAGAAUUCCUAAAGAAAUUCUGGAAAAAAUCCUAAAAGAAUUCCCGAGGAACUCAAGAGGGACUCCUGAAGAAACUUCCGGAAAACUUCUGGAGGAAUUCCCGAGGAACACCUGGAAGAAUUCACGAGAAACUCUUGAAGAAGUUUCUGGAGGAAUUCUCGAUGAAAUCUUGAAGGAGUUCCGGUGGAACUCCGGAAGGGAUUCCGGAAAAAUUCUGGAGAAAUCUUCGAACAAAUCUGCGGGAAACUCUAAACGUAGCUUUGUUUGAAACUCAAACGAAGUUCAGGUGAGAAUUUCGUAAUAAAAAAAAAACAUCGGUAAUAGGGUAUUGGUUCCCUUCUUAAGCGGCGCAGUAUCAUAACGUCCGAGGCCAUAAUGUCCAAGGGCUUUAUGGCGCAUUUUUUCGGGGCAUAACGCCCAAACAUGCGAGUAUGCCACGAAGUCCAAGGAAAGAAGGCACAUAGGAUAUUAUGACGCAUCUAAACUUUUGGACGUUAUUUCUCAAAAAAACGCGACUUAACGACCGGGACAGUAUGGCCUCGGACGUUGUGAUCCGGCGCUUCUCAAGCAUGUGGCUCCCAUUUUCAUCCUACGAAAAACAAAGGAUUGAAGCGCUGUUUGUUUUGUUUCUUAUUUUUGUAUUUUUUGUUAGAAGUGAGUACCCAUGAAAACAAAAAGAACGGAAUCAAUCGGUGCCGUAAUCGCUUGUUUUCGAAUAGGAUGAAUAUGGGAGCGUGAGAUUAAUGAUGGAACACAUACCCUACUUUUAGAAAGAGCCUCUGUUUUUUUAGAUAUUUUAAAAACAAGAGAAUUCUUAGAUAAAUUCCUAGAUGAAACUCAAAAAAUUAAAAAAAUAAUCUUUGAUGGCGUGAACGAAAUGAAAAAAAAAAUAUAUUAGUAUUAGUAAGUAUUUGAUUGUGCUGGAAGUUAUCUUUAAGAAUUAAUGAAAUGACCAACACAUUCCUGAAAGUUUUGUUUUCUAUAAAUAAUUGCUUAUCUAAAAUUAAUUCAGUACUUCAGCAAAUAUUCUAAAAUUCCCCAGGAAUGAUGGUGGUCAUAUCUGAAUAGUAUUUUGAAUAAAACUGCUUCAAAAUUUCCACCAAUAGAAAAAUAAGGAAUUAGCAAGUUCCUCAACAUAAAUUGAAACGUAUUUCAUCUGAAAAUGUUCCAAGAUUUGAACAACAUAAAUAUUAUUUUUCAGCUUUCAAAUGUCUUCAAAAGUCUUCACAUAAUUUGGAAAGUCUUCAAUAUGUCUUCACAAAAAUAAAUGUCUUCACAGAAGUUCAAAUGUCUUCGAUUUGAAGACAUGUCUUCACAUCUGGCAUCCCUGGUGCAUAGCUUGCCUCAUUUUUUCCGAUUCUGACAGUCGCUCGGCUCGUGGAGCAUUGGGCGAUCUUGCGACAUAGAAAUGGGGGUACUUUUUUCGAUUAUGUAAUUUAUUCGUAGAAUAUAAUUCGAUAGGGACAUUAUUUUAUAAUUAAUGUUUCCAGUCUCCUAUUCUACAAUCAUCAACAUUGUUGUCAGUUCGUAAAAUGGCUCAUGAAAGUUACGUGACCUACACGGAACUACAAAUUAACCCAAAUUUAAGUUCUUUUGACGCAAUCCCGCACCUCCGUGAAAUUACUCAAAUUUGAGUCAAACAGCGAUAGUGGUCACUAGGUAGUUCUCGUUUGAUCGCUGCAAAAAUUUUCACCCAGUGGUAAGUUAUUUUCACCCAACGGAGGCCUUAUUUGACGCAAAUUUGGGUUUAGUCAAGAUAACCCAAAUUUGGCUUCUUCCAUACGAAGCCGCACGGAAGUGUCGGUGCUUCACUCUACGUUUUUAACAACAUUCGUGUGGGGAGAGGGAGAAAACAACCGAAUGCUGAGUAAAAACUAAAAGCUGUUUAGCCAAAUUCGAGUUUUUAAAACUAAUUCGCUGGGUUUAAAUGUUUUUCAGUGUAUAGUGGUUUCUGCUUUUAGUGGUGUUGCCUGUACGUACACGUUGCAUUACACGAACACUACCUGAGUUACUGGUUGAAAAUAGUAAACAAAAAUCAGCUGUUCCCGGCAAAAUCAAAUGGGCAUAUUUUCAACCAGUAGAUUUGCAUUAGUGUUUGUGACGCCGCGCUGCGAAACCACUAUACAUUUAAGUUUAAAGAUUUUUAAGACAACAGUAGUGCAAGAUUCUUCAAUAAAUAUCGAAAAAUCAUUGAGCUUUAGAAAUUCUUGUUCAUAUUUCAAAGCGACUUCCUGGAGUAUGUCUAAAUCACUGAUAUCGUUUAUUGAAAUUGUGUCAAAAGAUUUCUGCAAGAAUACUGAGUCAAUUUUGAAACUAAAUAUAAGAUUAGUUUCAGAGUCACUGGGAGAUUCGAUCACCCAAUAAUAUACCUAUUUUUUGUAAACAGUUGUUAUUCACGGUAAAAAGUUUAUCGUUUAUUAAUAACAGAACUUGUUCUUCACUUAUUUUCCCUCCGAAAUCAAUAAAUACCAUACAAAUACCAACCUUUGCUCAAAUACCUCAAAUUGUUAUUGUGCUGUUCUCAUAACAUUUCAUAUGAUCCCGAAUAGCAAAAUACCCUUUGUCAUAAUGUCCAAACAGUAAGUUCAUUUCAUCCGUCAAGGUAACUUUAUCUCAAACAGCUAAUUGUAUGUUGAACAAUAAGGAACAGAUUACCAGACACUAUAAAUGACAGUUUGUGUAAUCCAUGUCAAGCAGUAACACUAUAUCAUACUAUUCAGGCAUUGUCGAAUUAUAUAAAGGUACAAAUUCCUACACAAUGGUAGCAAUAUAUCACCACAGUCUGUCAAAUGGUUAGCUACUCUAUUAGCGCAAUACACUUACAUCUAUACAUCUCACUAUUCAUUACUUUUUCUCAACACUUUGGCAAACAGUUGUACAUAUUUGUAUUGAUGAGAGGCACCAAUGUUUGUUUUUCUUUGCAAAGUGCCAAACUACUAAUGAAAAAAAAAAAAGCAAAAAAAAAACAGAUUUCGCAACCAUGACCGGUAACCGGUUGGCUAAUCCGGCUGAAAAGGGGACAUAUUCCGCCAUAACAGCACUUUCUCGGAAGCGGAGUCGAUCUACAAUGCUGCCUUGACCUGGAGUAGAAUCGAAGGUUUCAGGUCGCAAAAACUUAAUAUCAUCUCGUUCCCUGCAGCCGCUUGAGGAAAACGCCAAACGAUUCCAGCACUUCCAUCCAUAGGGGAAAGCAAAGGCUAGCGAGUUUUGUUGAGAUAUUGCUGGGGCGACCUCCGGAAGAAUGCUGCUGGAGUAUACGGAAACAAUAUAGCAACAGGAUAGGAACUGGCUAUCAAGCUCCGAAGAGGGAUCCAUGAAUGAGGUAAACGGGCGAAGUGCAUAUCAGUACCGCGAUUUGAAAAACUGAUCGGCUCAAGUAGCAGCAGCCAGCCCAUACAUCAGGAACGAUUUAUUCAGCGGAAGUCGGAGGUGUUUUUAAAUUACAUUAGAAUGUGUUUAAUGACUGCAAUCAGGUGAAAUAUCCAUCCAGUACGACACACUCUGACGGAGAGAGAGGGGUUCUAAAUGAUGAGAGGUGGUGGAGUCGGGAAAUUAAAAUAUGCCAUGGAUUUUUUUAGAGUUAUUGUACUUGAAUUAAAAUAUUUCUAGACGUAUUCACUUGUUUCAUUGAUUCUUAUUUAAUUGGCUCCCUUUUUUGUUACUAUUAAUACAAAAGAACAGUACAAAAUAGUGUACAUAACUAAAUAUGUACAAUACGGUUUACAGGUAUUCUACAGUGAAUAACCAUAAAUCACCAGUAUAACAUACAUUAUUCACUUUUCUUCCAAAUUUAUGGUUCAACUGUUCUCUAAACAUAUGCUAUGCAGUGAAUUGUACGAAAAACUGGAUAAUAUAUUGACCGUAUCCUUUACUGUAUUGCGAAAAAUUUGUUCGAGAAAACGAGCGAUUUUUUAUGGUAACCAAUCUUAACCGCCUAUUCUACAUACUGUAAAUUGCCGGCUUACCAUUUCUCAAACUGGCAAAUCUAUACAUAGAAUGGUUAUCUUACUGUUAUCUCGGACAGUCUGAGAAUUGGUUAAAAGACAAUUGCUUAUGGUCAUCCACAGUAUGAGAUACGAUACAUUAACAGUUCGUGAUUAUGCGGGAUAACAUCACAAUAACAAUUGUAAGUAUUAGAUCAGAGGUUGGUAUUGAUAUGGUAUUUGUUAGGUAUUCUCUUCUGCUCGAUUACCUAAUGAACGGUCAGCAAGUGUUUCGGAAUCGGUUUUGAGUGGCCGGAAGAGGCCAAAUGUAAAAGUGAACCAAAUCCAGGCAUGUGACACAUCAAAUCGUGGAAAAUAGCCUUACGUCACUGGUAGUGGUCCGGAAUUGGUUCAGAGAGUCCCGUCGAAAUUGUCAAACCCUGCAUGUGGCACCUUCAAUUUGCAGCGUUUUUGGUUAACCGAUGUAACUGCUCAACAUGUCGCUCGAGUUUUGUUGAAAGGAUAUUUUAAAGCACGAGAAAGGCACCAUCACCGCUAGGUGGAUUAAUUAGGUUUUUUUUUCCUACUUCUCCUCUGCUGGUGUCGUUGCCUGGACGAACCCUAUCUUCAAGAAGUCAAUAGGCGCAACUACGGUGUUGGUGCCACUAACAGCUGCGAUAAUUACAUACCUACGACCGAACGUGCCCGACUUAGCAACUUAGUACGGCACGAACUGCGCUCCGCCGCCGCCCCGAUACUGGCGCGCGGAAGCAUUUCCUAGUUGUUCAUGCUGCUGUCAGAUUGUAGGUGAUGAAUCGCAUCACGCUAUAAUUGCCCACAGUCAGUGGGCUCUACGUCAGCAGAUAUGUAGCUGUUGGUGGCCGUUGAGCUCUGAAUAAGUUAUCUCGAACGAAAACCGGCCGGUGCGAAACAGCAGCUCCAACUUCCACAAUCCAUAAUCAACCAGGUUCUGUUCCAAUGAGUAAAUAUUCAUAUUACGGCUACGGUACGGUAGAGUAGCUUCAGCUACAGCGGUACAAUGGAUUCGAUUGUUUCAACCCCUGAUGUCGGGUCCUUAGUAGGUCAUCGAAAACUGUACGGAGGAGACAUGGGCGCGUGGAGUUCUCCAAAGCUCCUCAACAACAGUUGGAUAACCCAGCACAAGGCUGCAGCAUUUUGAUUGGUGGUAAUUAAUUGCUUAGUUAUUACUGAUAGAUCGCUUAAGUUCAUAAUCUUUUUAAUAUUCCACCCACUUCAAUUGGAUCGGCGCACGAUUGAUCGGGCAGGGACUUGGGAGAUUUGACGUAACUAGCUACGAGUUGGUGCGUAGGAGCCGUCCGUCUGUCGGCUAUUGGUUGGAGCGCCUAGUUGCUAGUCAGGUUUCUUGACAAAAGUUUAAGGUCAACCUUCGGUUGGGGAGCGCAAGCUGGCUGUUAACUUGUUUUUUUUUUGCCAUCCCAGACAGUAAUGUAAAUAUGUAAACUAAACUGGUUAUAGACAGAGUUUUUUUUUUGGCGUCUACGUUUUUUGGUUGGCAGUUUAAAUCAAUACCUUGGUUUGCGUUCGAUUUUGGCGCCAAUCCCCUUUUCAACUUGAAAUACGCUUAGGUUUCGAAGAUUAAGCAUAUAAUCUUUGAGAAAUGGAAAUUUCCUAGAAUAUCGUGGACAUAGCAUACGUUUCAUUCUGCCUGCGUAGAAUUUCUCAAAGAAAACUUUUGUAGAGAAAAUUCUCGAUUGUUAACAGUACUAAUGCUCAUGGACUGGAAAGAGCAUCCAUAAGUCUAGGAGUACAAUUAGAUUGCUUCCAGGAGGAAGUUUGGCCAACCUCUAUGAGAAAGUAUCGACUACUUCCUUGAGAAAGUUUGGACAACUUUCAACAGAAAGUUUGGACAACUUUCAACCGAAAGGGAUUUUGAAUAACUUCCAAAGGUUUUUUUCUCAAAUAUUACGUAACGCUAAGGGGGAGGGAGGGGGUCUACCGCUGUGUUACGCUUCAUACAAAAUUUGAAAAUUGUCCAUACAAAAGUUGUUACGUGGGGGAGGGAGGGUAUCUAAAAUUGACAAUUUUUGCGUAACGUAAUAUUUGAAUGAACCCCAAGGAGAAGCUUCUAGCAGAAAGUUUGAAAAAAAAUCAGGGGAAGUUUGGGCAACUUUCAAGAGCAUGUUCGGAAAACAACUUUCAGAAGAAGAUUUGGACAACUUCCAGAAGGAAGGAUAGAAAAAAAUUCAUAAGGAAGUUUCAUCAAUUUGCAGGAGUAUGUUUGGAUAAUCUCCAGACAACAAUUUUGAACAACUUCCAGGAAGAAGUUUGAACAAUAUUUCAAAAAGAAGUAUGUGCAACUACCAGCAGGUAGCUUGGGCAUCUACUAGGAGGAUGUUUGGACAACUUUGAGGAGGACGCCUGGACAACUUCCACAAUAAGGAAUUUGUACAAUUUCCAGGAGGAUGUUUGGACAAGUUCCAGCAGAAUAUAGUGUGGAUGUACUAGGAAGUUGUUUGUACAUACAACUUUCAGGACGAUGAUUGAACAACUUCCAGAAAGAAGUUUGGACAACUUCUAGGAGAAAGCUUGAAUAACUUUAUGGAGAAAGUUCAGACAACUUCCAGGAUGAAGUCUUGACAACUUCCAGGAGGAAGUUCAGAUAACUUCCAAGAGAAAGCUUGAAAAUCUUCAUAAAGAAAGUUUGGACAACUUCUAGGGUAAUGUUUCCAGGAGGAUUUUUUUUGUCUUUAUUUGAGAGGUUUUCAGCUUCAGAGUUGGCCUCCUUAUCGAUAGAAUGUUUGAACAACUUGAACUACCGAAAGGAUGCCUUCUAGACAGCUUCCAGGAGGAUGAUUGGGAAACUUCAGGGAGAUUUUUGGACAACUUCCAGGAGAAAGCUAGGACAACUUCUUGGAGGCUUUCAGGAGGAAACUUCGAAAACUUACAAGAAGGAGUUUGGACAACUUCCAGGAGGAAGUCUCAACAACUUCCAGAAGGAAGUCUGGACAGCUUCCAGGAGAAAGUCUGGACAACUUCCAAGAUGAAGUUUUUACGACUCAGAAGUUCAGACAACUUCCAGGAGAAAAUUAAAACAACUUUUUGAAGAAAGUUUGGACAACAACGAUACGAAGAUAAAAUUCAAAUAAACUCCAGGAGAAAGUUUAGCAAAUUUUUUAGACGAAGUUUAGACCACUAUCAGGAGGAAGUUUUAACAAUUGUUAAAGAAAAUUCGGACAAUUUCCAGGUGGAAGUAUGGACAAAUUUGUGGAGGAAGCUUGGACAACUUCUUGAAGAAAAUUAGGACAUCUUCCAGAAGGAAGCUUCGAUAACUUUCAAGAAGAAGUUUGGACAAUUUUCAAGAGGAAUUUCGGACAAAUUCCAACAGAAAGUUCGGACAACUUCCUUGAGGAAGUUUUGAAAACUCUCUGGAGGAUGUUAAGGCAACUUCCAGGAGAAGGUUUAAACAACUUUUUGGAAAACUUCCAGAAGGAUGUUUUGACAACUAGUAGAAAGAAUUUUGAAUACCUUUUAGGGUGGAGUUUUGACCACUUCCAGGAGAAAGCUUAAACAACUUAUUGAGAAAGUUUGGACAACUUCCAGGAGGAAGCUUCUACAUUUCAGGAGGAAGUUUUGAAAACUUCCAGAGGAAGUUAGGACGAUGUUCGAGAAGAAGUUCGAGCAACUUCCAAGAUAAAGUUCAAAUAUCUUUAAAGUAAAAGUUUGGAAAAAAUCAAAAAGAAGAAGUUCAGACAACUCCCAAGAGGAAGGUUGGACAACUUCCAUAAGAAUGUUCGGAAAACUUGUUUCGCUGUAUUUCAAUAUCCAUUAGCUCUGGCCCUCACAAGUUCCUGCUUAAUGCUUCCACGGACUACCCGAUGACACAUACUCCAGCUAAGGGUUGUGUGCCUUCCUGGUAGUGCAGCCUGGGCUCUGUUGUCCUUCUGACUUCAGCUAGAUUGUACGUUCCGAGCACCUGUUCACCAAGAAGCUGUGGCUUAAACGGCGUCUGUCCUGGCACCCAGUCGCUGAACAUGAAAUGCUCCUCCACCGGAAGCUAUACUUGAGGCGGUUCCAUUUUGCUACUUGAGGCGUUUCUAGAUGCGUUUCCUUUUCGGUUUUUGAUUUUUUUUUGAAUAAACUACUGAGCAAUAUUUUCAAAAUCUGUUUUCUGUAAAUGCGAGGAAGGAUCAAGGUAUCUUCCGAUUUUUUUCCUGGUGGGAAACAUUACAAAUUAAACAGAAAUCAUUUUUUUUUUAUUUUUCUUUAAAAAUGUUUCCUGUAAAAAUGAAAAACGUUCUUCAUCUGGCAAAAAAAUCAGAAAAUGUUUUAGUCUUCCUUCUCAAUUUGUAUGGAAACCGAUUUUUGAGAUAUUGCUUCGUUGUACACCUCGUCCUUUUUUUACGUCCAUGCUUGGCUAAGCAACAAAAAAUUUUACCGCCAAGACAAUGAGCAAACUCAACAUUUUUAUAUUUUUUAAAACAUCUCCGUGAUUAGGAGAAGUGUAUAAAAAUAUAAAAAUGUUUAUUUUGAUCAUUAUUUUUGUAGUAGAAUUUUAUUUCGCUAAGCCAAUAGUGGACGUACAAUAAGGUUUAGGUGUAUAAUAAAAAAUCAUAAACCAAAAUAUGAGGAAAUGGAUCCAGUUUUGCCUAAAAACCAAAGUUUGUAACAACCAACGUCAUACGCUGCCUGGUACGUUCAGCAAAGUGGACAGGGCAAAGAAUAAAAAAACACAAAAUACGUUGAUAUAACAGAAUAGCAGAAAAAAUCAACGUGGCUUAUCUUGAUUUUUGAAAGCUUUCUGCAAACACUUUCAUUAAGAAUUUCUGACGAAAUCGCUGCAGCAAUCCACAGUGUGCGUUCUUGAAUAAAUAUUUACCAGAUCCCAUUAGACCUGCGCUUCCCAAACUCGGUUUUCACGACGCUCCAACGUGUUGCAGGCUCGCUUUUUCUACUCGUUUAAACGAGCUCAAAAAAGGUUGGUGCGCCAUGGAAACAGAGGAAGCGCGGCAUUAGACAAAAUCCCAGGAGAUACAUGUCAAAGGUUACUAAAAACUGAGUGAAGUAGAUACGAGUUAUUUGAAAAUUUCUGAAGAUUUUUCGAAAACAGCACCUGAAACAACAUGUAGGAUUCUCUGAAGGAAUUCUUAUAAGAUAAUAUGAAACAUUUUUGAUCAAUGUCAGAGAAAAUGGAAGAAUCUUUAGAUAGGAAUCCUCUAGGAAGAAUACCUAGAAAAGCACUGAAGUCAUAGAGAAAUUACUGGGGAAAAUGCCUGAAUAAAUUCUUAGAAGAACCUAACCUCAGCAGUUAGACCACUAGAAACAAUUUGCAUAGAAAUCAUUGGGGGAGGCAUAGUUUCCUUUGGAAUAAGUAGUACACUUUGGGGAAAUUUUCGAAGAACAUUGUUCAAGUUUUCAAGAUUUUCUUUAGUAAUUGAAGUAAAUCUCUGAAGAUAUAUCAGGGCUUUACUGUAAUUUUUUCAGGAAUUUGUUCAGAAGGCUGGGGAUUUUUCUCCAAAGGUUUCACUCGCAAUUCUUGCAGUUUUAUUAAGUUUAUGCAUUUACAAGGAAAUUUCUUGAAAAAAUUACAGAUAAAAAUGUAGUUCCCGAAAAAGUGGGAAUUCAUACACAAGGAUCAGCACUACAUCAGAAGAAAUCAGAAGCAUUGAAGCGCUGUUUAUUUUUUUUUUUAGAAGUUAGCAGGUAGGUUAACCCCAUUAUUUUGCCAAUUUGUCAAUCGGUGAUUGGUUUGUAUUCGAAUAAGAGAGCGAAUGAUUAUUAAUAAUAAUGUGACCUUCUUAAGCCCAAAUAAAAUUAGCAGAAAACUUUUACGAACUUAAUGAAGCAUUCAACAGCAUAUUCUGGUAAAAACCCUAAUCAAUUUGAUGGUGGCUUCCAUAGAGGAGCACCUAGCAAAAUCGAGAGAUUAUUUAUACGAGCUCAUUAAUGAAAAAAUAAAUAAAUUAUGCUGAGACCAGGUGAAACUUCUAUAAAACCUUCUGAAAGAGCUCCCUAAUGAUUAUUUGAAGAUACCGUUGGGAGAUUUCUAAUGAUGUUCCAAACAAAAUUUUGGAAACUGUUUGACAGAUAAAAAUAACCUUCUAAAUGCAUUAAAAGAAUGUCAUUCAGGCAUAUGUAAAACUGGACUAGACGUCAGCGGAAGUGGAUUCGGCUAGUGCAGCUGAUAGUGGCCGUGGAAGAAUACCUGGAGAAAUUACUCGAGCACGAAACCCUACCUGAAUUUCGAAAAAAUAUAAUUUUUGAAUUAGGUUCGACUGUAGAAUGAACUGUUUUCGGGUGGCUAUAAUAACCUCUAUAGGAGUUAUCAGAUAAAUCCCUUCAGUAGUUUAAUACUCCCUAUUUCAAUUUCCGAUUAAAAUUCCUGGAAAUAUCCACGGGGAAAUUCCUGAAAAAAAGUUCCGGAGGAAUUUCUGGAGUAAUUCCUGAACCUCAGCCGAAAUGGAUUGAGAAAUUCUAGCACAAAUUCCAGGUGUAUUCUCAGUAAGAACUCCUUCCGGAAUUCUAGAAGUAAUCACAAGAAAAAUUCCACAAGCAAUACCAAGAGAUAUUCCUGUAGAAAUACCACGAAAAAAUCAUAUAGGAAUCUCAAAAGGGACCCCAGGACAUAUGUAGCGGAGUCCUGGAAAAAUCCUCUUGUGAUUUCCUGGAUAAACUGUAAGUAUUUGCUGAAGAAAUGACAUAAGUCAUCCAUAGAUUAAUUUUGGAAAUUCCUAGAGGGAUCUUUGGAGAAAUUCUUAGAUGAAUCCCAGGUAGAAUUUCUGAAGGAAUCGCUUCUGGGGAAUUAAAAAGCACAUAUCAAUUAAGAGCAGUGAAUCAAAAUCCAUCCAUCGCUCAACAAUAAUGACAGUGUCGCAUCCUGUGUUUGUUGCGACAACCCACCCAAUGCGACAUAAGUUUGUCCCAACUUGAAAAUAAUAGGAUAAACAUCGUACAUCACGAGUUUAGAGAUUUUUUAGCCUUGCACUGCGGUUUUCGAACGGUAACUUUGAGUCGGUAAAUACUGCAUUUCUGCUGAAGAUCUAUCAUCGAACAGUUUUGACUUUGGAUUAGUAAUAAUUGAUUUUUCACGAGUUGAAAAAUACGCAACAAAUUCAGCUUCCGUUUUGUCUGCAACAAAAACUUUCAAGAUCAUUAUCUGUUACCAGUAGGGAUAAAGAGCAAUCGUCCCCAACCAACUUUCAAUAGCAUAUUCUGGUAUAAUAUUCUAAUCUAUUUUGCUAGAUGUUCCUCUAUCUAAGCCACCAUCAAGGCUUAGAUAGAGGAACAUCUAGCAAAAUUUACAGAUUAUUUUCUAUAAGAGCUCAUUUGUGAAAUAGAAAAAAGAAAUGCCACCGUGGUGAAACCAAUUCCAGAUGAAGCUUUUCUAAGGAAUAUUUGGAGUUUUCGUUGAUAGAUUUCCAAUGGUGUUUAAAACCAAAAUUUGGAAACUGUUUGGUAGGCAUCCAUAAUCUUCUAAAUGCAUUAGGAAAAUGUACAAAAAAUGCAUGUUAUUUCGGGCGUAUCGUAUCAUUUCUGAAAGGUGAUAACAGACAUCGACUCUAAUGAUUCUCUCGUGAUGGUCGUGUUAAAGCGCUGUCCACAAAUUACGCAACGCUUUUGAGAGAUGGAGGAAGUACGGCAAAGCGUUACAAUCCAUACAAAUAUAUUAUUAGGAUUUUCAUACAAAAAAGCGUUACGGAGGUGAGAAAGGGCGGUCAAAAAUUCUCGAUUUCAGAGUCACGUAAGAAAUGGAUGCUGCCUAAAUCGUCACACUGGCAACAUGAAGCGAAGCGGACUGCUCCUGAUCAAAGUGCCAGUUUUGUUGAUAACCCUUGAAUAAAUAGUCCAAUUGAGCAAUGUUUUCGUCAAAACUAGUUCAGAAGUGGGUAUUUUUGAGUCCUGGAUUUACAUUAAUUGUUAACAUUGAUUACCAACUUUAGAGAUAUCGCUCACAAAUGCCGGGAGAAACGUAUGGGAUCGUCUAACCCUGGAUAACAGGCGAAAGCCGGUAAACUAAAGCGAUGCGUUGCGUUACUUUACCGGUUAUUGCCGAAACGAAUCGGUUAGGAGACGUGACUCAUCAACAGGUAAAAUUAUUCAACUCAUUUGCAUAGCUAUAGCUAGCCAGCCGCUAAAAAGAGACCUCGAACCGAUGCGGUGAAUAUUUGCCAAAACUGGACGGUUCGAAAUGGUUCGCUAAAAUGAGCCAUGUGUCGCCGUGUCGUGGUGGCUGGCUCUCCACCCCAAACUUAUAAACUUGAUUGAUCCAAAGUGGUUUAUCAAACGGUCGUCCACUUGACGGACGGGGGCGAGCUUUAUUUGUUGAUAUUGCGCGAGGGUCUGUCUCUUCAUUCGCACCGGCACGCCAAUGCAAAUUUCGUAUACCACCUACCUUACCUACUACCAACACUACUGUCGUUCGUCCGCGAAUAGAUUUAACUAGCAACUCUCCUCCUCCAUAUUUGCCUCGCAAAUUGACAGCUCAUUAUUUCGAGCCGCAACACUAUAUGCAACGCGAUAUUUCGCUCCGCCACGGUGACUUUUGUAACUUUUUGUGCCUUCAAACUGUUGGUUUCCAAUGCUAGGGAGGAAUUCCUUAAACGGUUUCUGUGAGAGUAUGUGUAUUAUUUUACUUAAGGAGUGUUGGUUGGGCCCAUACAGAACAACGAUGUAUCGCUAUUUACGCAUAUCGAUUGCACUAAACCGAGCAGCAUAAUUACGCCAGAUUAAGCAUAUGCCAAACGAACCAGAAAACUCACACGCGAUCAAACGCGGGUACCCGAGCAGAAACGAAUAACUGACACAUAACUGCAGUAUACCAAAGUCAGGUAUCAUACCAAGACAAGGUAUUGGUCGGUUAUUCAGGUAUUGAAAAUAACUUACUUUGGUAUUUUGUAGAUAUUGAUAAAAUACCUCAACGAGUUAUUGGCGUGGUGUUGAGGACUGCUUGAGGUAUUAUUCAGUUAUGGAAAAAUCAUCAUUUGUAUGGAAAAAUCGUCGAUUAUUAUUUAGGUAUUGCCAUACCUGAUGUCAUUAUUCUAUUCACGUGUUAUGGGCAGAAUACACACCAGUUAUUAUAUUAGGUAUUUUACCUCUUAUGUAGGGCUUCUUAAUACUUCAUUCUGGUAUUGUAGGUAUUCGGUUUUCCAUACCUGAGUUUGUUAUUCUUCAGCUAUUUUCUCCUGCUUGGGUACGAUUAGUUAUCCGAGUUUAAGAUAAUGAAUACACUAGCUCAAGACAGAUAAAACAAAUCCCUCCUUCUUCUCCUUGGCUAACGUUUCUACUUUGCUUAGGUUAUAAUCUAACUAUUAGCAGAAAACUUUCUUUGCCUCUUAGGCAUAUUCUAAAUUUGCAUGGAAAACUGAGCCAAAAUCCAUUUUUUUACACUUAUUUGAAAUGUGUGAUUUUCCAGAAGUUUACUUGACAUGUUAUGUACAUUUCAUGAUAUACCAUGUAAACUUCCGUUAUAUCAUGUAAUUCAAUAAAAAUCAGAGUUAUUACAUGACAUAUUACAUAUUAUAAAUAUUUACAUCUUCAGUAGUGGAAGUUUACGUGAUUCCAAUUAAGUUUACAUAUCAAAUGUCUGUUGUUUAGAUCUAGAUUUCUGGUAUAUUUACCUGCAUUUCAGAAAACAGGGAAUAUACAUGCCUGACUAAAUCAAAAUACGUGCCAAAUUAGUGAUCAUUCUUUGCUCGGGGUAUAACACCGACUAGACGCAUUCGUUCGACGCAUUCAUCGGUCGACGUUCAAUCAAGUAUCAAACGACGAUGAGGUAGGGUCGAGGGAGCAGCGAGGGAAACUGGGUGUAAACUGUUAGGCAAGGUUGUUGGUAAAUAAAACCAUUUGUCGGAGGAAUGGCGAAAAAAUAGCUGCCAAACAGAACGCACUGCCAGCGGGUACAAAUUUGUUUUAUCGCGCGAGCUAUAAUGCCGUUUAAAAAUGCUGAUAGGUAUCCAUGGCACCGUGCACGAUCGUGUAGCUUUUUGUGGGUUGGAUGCAAUAAAAUUUGACAGAAAAAUGAAUAUUUCAACGGCAGUAUGGUAAAUUUGAAGUGUUUUCUUAAGUCUAUCAUGGCUAAGAAAUUUUGCACUUAAGUAUCAUUCAAAUUAUUGAGUUUACAAAACAAAACGAAAGUCAUGAACAUUUGUCAAUGAUCAAUUCUCAUUCAUUAAUCGUUUCCUGAUUUCAAAAUCAUGCUCUGCCAUGGGCGGGUGAUUGCAUCAUCAAUACCAAAAAAAACAUAACAAAAAUCGUAAUAUUAAUUGUGUAUGGAUAUCUUGAAAUUUAAGAUUUUGGGAUUUGGCUCGCCAUCUUGGAUAUUCUAAUUACCAAUUUUGGACUUCGAACUUUUUCUCCAUACCAAAUAUAACCACAUUGCAUGAUUUCAAAGCCUUAAACUCCGUAAAAAAGCCGCCUCAUUCGUUGGCCACCAUCUUGGAUUUUAGGUCGUCAUCUUAAAAUUUUUGGCUAACAUCGUGGAUUUCUGGUUUCCAAUGUUGUUUGCAUAAAAGUGGUAAAAUAUUUGAUGUGUCGGGUGAUAGGGUAUGGUGCAGUAUUGACCAAUUCAUCGGUGCUAGUCCGGAUCACUAAAAUGGCCAUAACUCCGGAACGCCUUGACCGAUUCGGACCAUUUUCAAUAGCAAAAAAUGCGGUGAAAUUCCGUUUCAAUUCGUGCUAUAAUCCGUGUUGGCGCGAGUUUCUUCUGGAUCAAUGAAACACAUAUCGAGAGCAGCGUUUGAUAACGGCAGCUUCAAUGCUAUAUUAAUAGAAAUUCAGUUAAAUAAUUUACAUUGAUUUUACUUAAAAUUAACUUAGUUUCUUAAUCACUAACGAACUCUUUCACUCGACACACAACUUAACACUAAAUCUACUUACGAUUCUAAUGCAUUCAAUUAAUUCCUAUUGGAUAGAACAGUUGCCAGUUUCACCAAAAUACAUUGGAAGCCGUCGCAACAAUCCGUAAUCGGCACUCCCCAUCGGCCUUAAAAGUGAGUGACCUUUUUUGUACACAGACAUACAUACACACAUAUACACAUAACAGACAUCAUCUCAAUUCGUCGAACUGAGUAGAUUGGUAUGUGUGGCACGACUCUCUGAGUUUUUUUUUAUCGAAAAUUCAUUUUUUGAGUGAGCAUUUAACCUUUCAGUACAUUUUGGUGUACGAGAAAAGCAAAAAAGGGCAUUCAUAUCGAACGUAUGGAACCCUGUCUCAUCCUAAUGUUGGACGAUUCUUGUAAAUUGUGGAAUUGUUCACUCCGGCAGUUAAAAGAAUAAAUUAUUUUUACAAAUUUAUCAGAUUUUCAGUUAAAAGUUUAAUGGGAGUUUAGAUGCGUUUCGGACAGAGGUUCCAUAAGGCUUCUACGCCCCUGAAACCCUUUUAAAACCUCUGGAACAUUCCUGAAUUCCCCUGGAACAUGAUGGUAACACCCUGAAACCCGGUGGAAUGACCCUGAAAUAACCAGAAACACCACUGUAACUCUCUGGAACGCCCAUGAAACCCCUUUAAAACCCCUGAAAUGCUUCGUAAACCCCCUGAAACACCCUGAAACGUCCAAGAAUUCCCAAAACAAAAAACUUGGAAGGCCCUCGAAACACCCUGAAGCCCCCUGGAGUACUUUCGAUACCUCCUAGAAAACAUUUGAAAACCCUUGAAAUGUUUAUAGAAACCCACAGUAACACCCUGUAAUGUCCCUGAAACUCUUGGAACGACCCUGGAACCCCCUGGGACCACCUGAAACCUGUCAGAAAAAAGUCACAUUUGAUGCAUUGCUCAGCCAACUUAUUUCUUGCAGAUAAAACAGAGAGCGAGUGGCUACUGGUUUGUAGAAGAUGGUAUACGAAACCAAAGCAUAUAGCAGAAACAAGAGUAAUAGUCACCACCAAGUCUUAUUGUUGCUGUGGGUGAUCAACAGCGACAGCUGGUGAUGUAGACGAUAAAUAGAAAUGCUAGAACAAGGAUGCUGGAAAUGUUCAAUGAAUCGAGAUUCCUUCGCUUAGCGAACUAGCUUCACUUGAAUAAGCACACGGCAGAAAGCAAAUCUGCCUCAUAAUAUGCUCACUUACCGCUGCAGAAGCAGAGAACAUAAACGUCGAGGGAAUUGGGAGAGCAGAGAAUAAGAACGAGCGAUACGCUGAGCUGGCUUUCUGUUUGGCUUGAUGCAUCGAACGCAAGUGAAAAUCGUGUGUCGACUACACUCACUGCUCCUAGAUACAGCGACAGUAACUACGUAAACGAACUAGUGCUCCACAUGGCCACAAAAGUCACACACAGUUCUAUGGGAUAGACUUCAUUUCCCGGUACCGAGUACCAAAUCUUAGGAAAAUUUCCACGGCUACGAAGUGCAGUUCAAGAUAUUUUUGCACAGUUGGAGACGGUACAGAACCUCGUGAAUCUACUGUAUAUUGUGUGGACGCACCCGCAAUGAGACGACGAACGUCGCACAUGCCCCAGCAUACAAACAGCCGGAUCACAACAUCGAUGAACCAAGUACACACAUAGGCAAUCGAUCAACAUAGCUAGCUUGACCUAUUGCUGACAUUGUGAAGUCCGUAGAACUAAGAGAUCCUACAGUAGUCAGCAUAAUGAAUAUUCUCAACCAACACCCACGUAGAAUCCAGCCAACAAAAUUUGAGUGUGCUGCAGGAGUAAAACCAGAUGUUCAUCAUAAAUGAAAGGAAGUUCUGCCUUUUGGAAAUUAGCGACGACACAGUUUGUGGCCAAUCUAUGAAAGAACCCUAGCGCAGCGACGACGAUAGGAUUUGGUUGGCAGACGAAGGGUGACAGUGUAUUGGAGUAGGAGAUGUGACUUCAGUCGUGGUAAUCGCUAGGGAUAUACGGAAGCCGUGAGCAUUUCCGGUAUACCAGAAAUUGAGCAAUAACAAGAGGACCGGAUUUCGAGAAUAUUUUUUUAAAUAAAAAAAAUUACGACGAUCCACUGGUGAACAUGCCUAUCACGUGCCUUUCGAUUCUGUACAAGGUAUUGUCGUCAGUAAUAGCGAGGAGAAUACAAGACCGCUGCGAUGCUUAUAACAUGAGGACCGAAAAACAAAAGGGAUGUUACGAAAAGACGCAAGGCGAUAAAUAUCAGGUUAUCAUAAAUACAGUCUUUGAAGGUCCAGCCACCUAUGAGCAGAAAAACCUUAAGCAUGGCGUACAUUUCCUACAAAAAAUACACUCGUACCUUCUCAAGGUACUGCAGUUGUAGACGUAAACGUCACCUGGCUAAUGUAGCAUCAGCAUGCGAUGGGGAUCUGGAGUACAUCUUUACAAAUUACCAACGGAACAGUCGUGUUGAGAUCCAGAAUAUUCAGCAUCAGGUGGAGGAUAUUUCAAGGCGAUUCCUUCCGUCCGCUAUGGCUCUGCCUUGCCAAGAAUCUCCGCAGAAGAGCACUCAACUAAUCUGCCCAUAUUCGCAUAGUCGAUGUAACCACCAUUGCCAAUGCCAGCAUGCACAAGCUAAUGUCUAACACAUGCACAUGUUUCUGAUCAGUUUUAUUAAGUAGAGUACAAGAUUCAACCGUUAGUUAGAUGUCAACGUGGAAAAAAUGUUGAACUUCGAAUUAUUCAUUGUUAAAAUUGCAAAUGUGUGUUGAAAACUACAGUGGCGCUUACGUCAACUAUGCGAAUAUGGGCAGUAAUGUAACUAUGGCUACUAAUUGAAUCGUCUACUAGGGAGAUAUGGCCAUAAUAAAAAAUCUCCUUACUACGAUUUAACUGCAUUCAAAUCUACGUUGACAGAAAAAUUCAUGGCUACUAUGAUCAAAUGAUAUAUAACCUUCUCUAAGCGAAUUUGCGCAACAGUCCUGAAUGUUUUAAAUACCAAAUUUGUUCUAAAAAACGUUUCCACUGCAUUUUUAUAAGAUUUCCUUAUUUAGUUCAAAUCCCAUUCAUUGAAUAAAAUAUUAGGAUUUAUCGGGGUUUAAUACGCUCUCACAGAGCCAACAGAGUUCUUCUGUAAAGCAAUUUGAAAUUUUAUAUGAAGAAAGUCAACACAAUGAACUUUUACUAAGAUAAGUCGAAAGUUGGUUUAAUUUAUAUUUCAUCAUAGUAGCCAUGGAUUUUUCUGUCAAAGUAGAUUUGAUUGCAAUUAAAUCGUAGUAAGGAGAUUUUUUAUUAUUGCCAUAUCUCCUCAGUAGACGAUCGUGGACGGACAAACUGACCCUUAUUUAAAAACUCUAUAGCUGUACUUUCUGAUAAGGGUAUCCUCAGCUGCACCUUUUGCGCCCCUAAGACAGAUAUUUAUCCCUGAAAGUGGAUGAAAAAAAUCAUAAAUUCAUCUAUAACUCGUCUCACUUAAUUCUUACAGCUUUGAUGUCUUCGGCAAAGUUGCGUAUUUUAUUGAUUUAUACAACUUUGCAGAACAUUGUAUGGGUCUAAAAAUUCAACAAAUGUAUGUUUUACUUAUAAAACGUGUAUUUGGGGUUAACUUUCAAGCACAGGCCACUAUCUCCAUUGGAGUAAAAAUUACCAAAUUGACGUCUUCAGGAAAGUUGUUUGGAAUCAAAAAUGCUACAACUUUGCCGAAGACGUCAACCCUCUAUCUCAACAAUUUAAAAAAAAUAAUUUUGUAUCUCACUUUUAGGGGGAUUGAUCCGAAAACUCUAAUUGUCAAAAGAUGGCGCUGGUUAUUCACGUCAACUUUGCCGAAGACACUAUUGCUCUAUCUCCUCAAUCCUUCGAGCUAUUAAUUAAGAGCGUGAAAAUGGGAAAAUAAACCAUUGUGGGAUGGACCCCUUUACAGCUCUAGCAAAUCGAUCAGGCGGUGUCAAGCGCGUGGCUGAUGCGGGGUGACCUUUUCUUGGGCACAUAAGGUUUCAGGGCAGCCAUCCAGGUUCAAAUAAUUGUGACGAAGAACUAUCGGCAGUGCAACCUGCAUGAUGACGCGAAAGACCUCUGAAGGAAGUGCAAUUUGAAACGAAACCUCAUAAACAAAAAUUUGCAAACUCACGAUGAUGAAAUCGAUGUGCCAACUUAUUCUAGAUUCUGCACUACUGUUAGAAUGGUCAAUUGAUUCCGCCUAAAAAUAGCCCGAACGCAUCCAUUGCAUACCAAAUAAAAGCGAACCCGUCCACACUCUACACAGUAAUCCGAUAUCGAACUCUUUAAAAACCUUGAGCUCUCUGGUGUUGUGAUUCCUCCUACCCUCGCACUCGGUUCGCAUAUUUUAAACCAGCCGCGUACACCCUCAUUGAAAUUCUAAUCAUAAACCUUGAAGUUUCCUAGCUUUGAUGGCUCCAGCAGCUUGAAGAAGCGGGAAAAAAGUAAGACGAAGUAAAGCAAAAAAAAAACUCCGUAAAAAAAUCGAAUCAAAAAUUCGCCUCUCGCAUUCGGGCAUCUCCUGAAGCAGUUGGUUGGAUGACAGCAACAUCGAAUGGACGAUAAAAUUCUGCGAGCGUGCGAGGAGGAGCAAGAGACUGCCGAGUUGACCUCCAGCAGCAUAAAUUGCCAAAUAUAUUUACAGUGAACACAACCCCAUCAGAAGCGAAAAAAAACGCUUGAUCUCCAACGCGAAACGGCCUCGAACUAAAAUUUAGUCCGAAACGGAGUUGAGAGUAGUGGAAGUCGAAUAAAAUGCACCAUUGGUUUUAUCUGAUCUAAAAUGGAGUGGGUUUAAGCUUAAGUAAAAACAACUCAUGUUUAAAUAUUGUUCGAAGUUUCGAGUACGCUUAAGGUGAAGCAUCCCUAAGUAUAAUCAUGGCUGCUACAGUAGCACGAACAUUGACAAAGCCAAAAUAUUGUCUUAUUACAGUUAUUUGUCAUAGCAACUCCAAAAGUAAAGAACGAAGAUAUUAAAGUAUUUUAAAGCAAGAACUAGGUCCUCCCGCUUCGAAGUGCAUUUUACACAGAUAAACCCUUCAGGAAAAAAAACUUUAUCGAGUAAAGUGGAGGGUUCUUUUCCUCUUCUUGGACUUUUAUUUUGAUCCACCAACACAUUUGAAUUCGGCAAACAUGCCCUCAUCAAUUUGUUGUUGUUUUGAUUUAGUUUUUAUUUUGGCUUUAUUUUAUCGCUGUUGCGUUGCGUUCCAACAACCAGAAGCGGAUCAAAAUAAAUGCCCCCAAAGAGAACACGUGCGAUUGUUAUUCAACAACGCAUCAAGAAAGAAUGGAGUAUUAAUAGCGCGCUGUUAAAAAAAUAGCGCAGCAUUUUCAUUCACUAUGCCGUGUUUGUUUACCGAUUUUUGCAAGAAGUGGUGUCCGGUCGGAAAUAUGAAUCACUGCUAAAUCGCUCUUAACUGUGUAUGACGGUAUCAAUAACCGUUAUGUGUCCGACAAACUUUUUGCUUUUUUCUACACCGUUUAAAAAGGCGAUGAGUAUCCGGGUCCCUUUCGGCCACAUAAGGAUUAAAUAGCUAUCGAUGGUAUUUUCAAUAAUUUAGUAGAAAAGAAAAUAAAUAUGGUGAAGCACAAAUACAUGUACAGAACAUUCGUCAUUUGUAAUAUUACAGAUUGUGCUAACAAUGUAUCGAUUUGAUCGAUUUAAUUAUGAAAUGAAAUCCAUUUGCUCCGGUUGGAAUCGAACCCACGACUCGCAAUUCGCUAGAUGGGCGCUUCUGUCAUCCAAGCUACGGAGCCACUUGACCAUCUCCCUCAUUUGAAGGCACAGAACUGAACUCGAUUACACUAAUGCACAUUGUUUGUUCUUUUUCACAAUCCAAAUCUCCUUCGAAUGGAAUUAGAUGAACAUCUACACGUCUCUGAGGUGUGCAAUGUGCAUGAAUGUCAUAGCAUGAAAACGGAUCAUUUUUGAAAAUUGUCGUGAGUCAAGGUACAACGAAAAGGCUCUCACCACUCAUGAAUUAAGACACAGCUGAAGACAGAGCACAGAGGAUCAUCUGAAAAAUAAAACUGUAGAAAUCUGUAUACUGUUUCGUGGUGGCUUGUCAGUCUUGACAAAAAUAAAACACUAUUUAUGUUAAAGCAAUGGUGAUCGUUUGCGAAGUAGGUUCUAAAUUCCGGAGUGCUAAUUUUCGGAACGAGUUUCCCCCGAUAGGGCAUCCAAUUUGGCUGCGAUUGUGCGGGAAAAUUCGAACCAAAUCGACAGUUACAGGUUCUACCGAACCACACUGGACGAGAACACUGUAACUAUUGAGUUCCUGAAGAAAAUCCCAAACGGACCGAAACGUCGGACAAAAUAACAUAAAUAGUGUUUUAUUUUUGUCAAGACUGACAAGCCACCACGAAACAGUUUCGUAAAACAGUCGAACACACCAACGAAAUCUGUAUACUGCCCAAGUAACCAAUGAGCAUUUGAAUAAGCCGUAUUUCUGUUUUAUAUCUGCAUUAGAGCUGCUUACUGCCGUAUGAUAGCAGUUUGACUGCUAAACUGCCCUAUAUUAGCAAUUGAAGUGCUUCUUAAAAUCUGACAGCCGUUGUGUAGCAUUUCAGAUGCACGGUAUGUUUUGGUCAACAAGCAUCACAACUGCUCAUUAGUGCCAUAAAACUGCUAAGUGGGAUGAGGGAUGCUAAACCCACAGCACAUUACCACUUCUUCAAUUUACGUGCCCCGGCUGUAGAUACCAUUAUCAUUCGCUUGUCCUGUCAUUUAUAGAGUAGCAACUAAAAAAACAUGCUUUGGCAAAUAAAUUCCAUGGAUUUCGCUACUUUCCAAUGCUCGAUUUAAUUAUCAGCACAUCUGACAUCAGCACAUCAUCGAUUUAAUUAUCAGCAUAUCUGACAAACCAACUGCCGGUGUAAUAUUCAAGCUUUAAAUUGAUCAAAAAACGAACGCACAUUAUUUAAUCAUCUAUAGCUUACAUCGUAGCGCGAUUCAGCACCAUCGUCAACCCAAGGAUCGAGGGAUCAAAUCCCAAUUUCGCCGAUAUCAGCAAAAACCAACAACAACAUUUCAAAACGUGACCCCAAGCCUCAAAAGUUGCACAGGAGAAUGAGGAUAAAAAUAGAAGAGAAAGGGCCGUAAAAUGGGGAGGGGUAAUAUUUUAUUUUUAUUUUUGACAAUCUGGGGGAUAGGAAAUUUAAGCAUUUAAUCAGCCGUAUAUUGGGCCAAAAUCUGCAUUUAAGUAGCACUUAUGGCGUAUAUAGGGCAAAUUAGCAUUUAAUGGCCUGCUGUAAAGGCGCAUAUAGUGCCGAAUCAAUACCAUUUGAACUGCUUAUUGGUUACCUGGGUGGACAUAUGCCUCGAGGAAACCCUUAAGAAAUCUUCGGAGAUAUCUCUUUAUAACAUUCUGAAGAAAAUCUUCGAGUAAUAUUUGCAAGAUCUAUUGAAGAAACCUAUGAAUACUAAUGCUAAACUUCUUGGAAGAACUAAGAGGAAUAUAACUAUCAUUGUUCAUUAAAAACUCAUUGAAAUCCCUGCCAAUCUCCAUAAAAAUAUAAAUGCUUUCUACUUAGAGUGAUACCAUUUUCAAAAAAGGAUUUAUAGUUUUGAGAAAGAAAACUGAUUUUAAAAACAAACAUUUUGGAAUUUCAGUUCAACCUUGCACCAGACUCUCAAAGACGGACAUUUUAAAACACCUUAAAAGAAUUCUGGGAGAAAUUCCUUAAAAUAUCUGAAGGAACUCAUCUUCAGAGAAUUAGCUAAAGAAAUUGGUAGAAUUAUUCCAGAAAAAAAAAUAGUUGAAUUCCUGGAACAAUAUAUAUACCUGGGAGAAAUUCUGAAAUUCUGAAAGAAUUACGAGGGGAUUUCUAUUCCCUUCAGAGGACUACUCAAUGAAAGUAAUCAUAACAUAAUACAAUAAGAAAAUCUAGUAGAAUAUUCUGGAUUUUUUUUUCUGUUCGGAUGAGCCACUGCGACCAGUAUUUAGAUCUUUUGUGGCAAUACCCGUAUCCUUAGUAUUUAGUGCAUGUCGUACUACUCCAUUGUCAUUGAGAGGCAAUGGAGCAUCGAUUUCUGUACAGAUCUUGUUUUGUUACCUCAGAGGUUCGAGAAAUCGAAUGUGAUGAAAAAGUACCGUUUUCACAGGGAAAUAAAUCCCAGCGAAAUUGCGCCCUUAAUCACACAUAAUCGAUUCUAUUUCUGAGAUAAACAAAACGGUAGAACUGAUAUUUGUUCAUGCAUCGGAACUCUGGCCCCAUCCGUGUCUUGCUUCUAGUUUAGUCCCAGGACAACAUUGAAAAAUCCGGGGCUUUAGGCUAGUUGCAAAACGUUGUCAAAUUAGAGAAUGUGUUCGGUAAUAAGAAUUCACGUGAGUCCUUGUAUCACCAGUAUUUAUCAGUCCUUAGUAGGUUAUUACGCAAUUAGAUACGCAAAGCAUGUUUGUUUUCCUUACAUCAAGUGUAGUCUCGGCGAGGACAAACCGAGUCUUUAACUAUCCGUAAGGCCAAAUAAAUGCAAUUUUAGAAACUGUAACUAGUAACAAGGGCUUUGUACCAUGAAUCCUUAUUACCAAAACGCAUUACUCUAGCUUAACAAACGAUGUCACCAGGGUUCAGUUUGGGAGAUCUACCCACGUUACGGGCUCCGUUAAAGAUCGAGCAUGUUUUAAACCCCCUCAACCAUUCAUCCCUCAGCACGGGUCGCCUGACAUCUUGGAUUGGGGUUCCCUGUUUGGUGGACUUUUACCCCCGGAACAGGGGGUCCGUAGUGCUAUUCUAAGCCGGCAACUACACGGGCAAACAUUCUGGAUAAAUUAUUAGACGAAUCUUUUGAGAAUCUUUGGAUGAACCUUUACUACUUUCGAAUGAAUUCUUCGAGGAACCUAAGCAGGCAUUCCUGGAGGACUAUCUGAGGGAAUUGUGGUGUAAAUCUCUGAAAAAAUUUCUGGAGGAGUCAUAUUAUAAAUCUGUGGAGGAAUUCUCUGAUAAAUUUUAGGGGGAAUCUCAGCAACAAUUCUCAAAAAAAAUGUUUAAAAUAAUUGCUGAAGACAUCUCCAGAAGAUUUUUUGAUGGAAUUAUUAGACCAAUACCUGGAGAUUUAUGAGGGAAUUUCUGAAGAAGUUGUUGAAGGAAUCACCGGAGGAAUUUCUCAGGAAAGAAAUGACAGAACCACUGGAGCAAUUCCUGGAGAAAUCUCUGUAAGAUUUCGGAGAAAAACACGGGAGAGAUUCCAGCAGGAAUCUUUGGAAGAAUUCAAAAAGUAAACUGUGGAGGAAAUCCUGUACUAUUACCUAGAGAAAUUGCAGGAUGAAUUCAGGUAAAAUACGGAAGAAAUAAUCUUCAGACUCAUGACUGAAAAAAAUAUGAUGGCGAGGUAUCUCCAGAGGAAUAUCAGGAGGGAUUUCGGUAGUAGUUCUUGAUCUCUUGAGAAAUUCCUAGAAGAGUUCCUAAAAGAAACAAUCCCAAAAAAAUGGUAAAGGAAUUCCGGGGGAAAUUCUUGAAAGAAACCAUUGACAAAAAUCUUGAGCAAGUUUCUAAAGAAAUUGCUGGAAAACCCUUUCCCUUCUGCUCCAGGAACGUCAAGAACGAUCUCCAGGAGCAAUCUGUACUGUACUACGGGAGAAAUCCUUGGAGGGAUUAACGAAGGCAUCUAUGGAUAAAUUUCUAAAAAAUAAAAAAAAACGUCCACGGCCAUAAUGUCCCGAUUAUUUUUUAAUGCAAAAGAACGUGCAAAUGAAUGUGACGCAUCCAAAUCUUAUGUGCUUUCUUUCCUAGGAGUCAGUGACGCAUCUGCAUGUUUGGAUGCUAUCCCAGACAAAAAUGCGCCGCAGACCUGACAGAUUAAGGCUUCGGACGUUAUGGCACAGCGCUGAAUUUUUGGAACAAUGACGAGUUAUAUAUGACAGUACCCCAUGACGAAUUCCUGAAAGAAUCUAAGAAUAAAUUCGUGGAAAAUAUUCGUAAAAGUUUUUAGAGGAAUACUUUAAGAAUUUUCUGCUGGAAAACCUGGAGAUAUAUCUAGAUAACUUCCAGGAAAAGUCAUAUAGUUAUAUCUUUCAUGGUCCCUUCAGUGAGACAGGAAAAAUGCUCCUUUCUCAAUUGUGGUAGUGAUUUUCAUGGGAAGGAUCGAAUCCGUGUCGAAAUUCUAAUGUCAAGCGCGGAAAAAGCUUGAACUACUCUAAAGUAACCAAUAAUUUCACUUCCCAAAAUACACUUUCAAGUUCUACAAUAUUCAGAUAAAGUUCCGAAAGGAACUUUCUGGCUGCUCAGGAGGUUUACACUGAACUCGAACGGAUUCUUUGUGCAAUCUCUACAGCAACUCUGCCAGUUUUUUUUGUGGGUAUUGAAUUUCUGGAGGAAUUUCAAGAAUUUCUGCAAUUCCUUAAAUAAUCUGUAGGAGAGUUCCUGGGAUACAUCAAGUAUGAAUCACUAGAAGAAUUACGGAAGGAAUUCACGAAGAACUCAUAAGAAAGUAUUUUUUGAGACAUCUCUAGAAGAUGUCAUUCCUGGAUAAAACUUUAAUAGCAUGUUGCGUUGCGCUGCGUAGUAACGGAGUAAUUCGUAGAUUGCAUACUGAAAGUUGUCAUGUUUAAGCUUUAAUACUCCUAUUCUAAUUGCUUAUGGAAUGCUAUUUGGGAAGGAACGGCUUUCCAAGGGGCUGUCCAUAAACCACGUGGUCAUUUUUUGGGAGUUUCCUGCCGAUUUGGUAGGUAGUCAAUUUGUGUUUUGUGUAUUGUGUAAUGUUUUGUGUGUGUUAGGUAAAAAUUUAAACAGCCACGUGUACCCAUUGCCCUGAUCCUUGUUAAGUAGUUUUUUAUUGUUUUGUUUGUAAAUUUCUAAACUUUCUGCAACAUCAAGUUUCCAUGGGUUUGUAAUGUGUCGUAAGAGUUUAAUAUUUGAAGUAUUCAUAAAAUGUCCUUCAUUGAAAAUAUGUUCAGCAACUUUAGAUUUAAAAUGAUGAAUGAGUCCCUUGUCUGUGUCUUUGUGUGCUUUUGAUACUUCCGUUAUGUGUUCUUUGAAUCGUGUGUUGAGUGUGCGUUUUGUUUGUCCUAUGUAUAUUUUGUCACAGUGAUUACAUGUUACUUUGUAAACACCAGAUUUUGUUAAGUUGUCCAACGGGUCUUUCGUAGAUCCUAAGAGAGUUUGAAGUUGGUUAGCUUUGCUUGUGAAAACUAAUUCAAAACCAAACUUUCUGAGAAUUGGUCGGAGUUUUUUUGGUGUCAUUGUUGUAGUUCACAGUUAUCCGUUUAAGUGUAGGUUCUGUCCGUGUCAGUGUAGUCAAAGAACGUCUGUAUUGUUGUUGUGUCUUUUUGUUGAUGAUCUGUUGUAUUGUUUGUUUUGUGUAACCGUUCAACUGUGCUGUUUCGAAAAUGUAAUUAAGUUCUUUCGUUUUUCCUGUUUCACUAAGUGGAAGUGUCUGCAUUCGGUGUAUCAUGUGAUUGAAGGAUGCAAUUUUGUGUUGAUGUGAGUGAUUUGAUGAAUUUAGUAUAGUGCGUUGAGUGUGUGUCGGUUUUCUGUAAAUUUCGAAGGAAAGUGUUGAUUCUUGUUUUACGAUGAGUAUGUCCAAAAAUGGUAGUUGGUUGUUCUGUUCAAUUUCACAAGUGAAUUCGAUGUUUUUGUGUGCAUUAUUGAUAUUGUUCAAGAUUUCAGGUAAAAGAUGUUUCUUAACAAUGCUAAACACGUCGUCAACGUAUCUCCACCAGACUUCAGGAAGCUGUUUGUUGUUUUCUAAGCGUUUUUCCAAAUUUGCCAACUUUCAUUCCAACUUCCAUUCCAUUGCCAACAUCCAACUUCCAUUGCCGGUCACGCCCAUCUUCUCCGUUGCGAGGAAAGGAAAGGAUGUGAUGAUAUGACACCUACUUGCAUAGGUGUCAAGGAGUUGGAUAUUUGGAAUGGGUUGAUUUGGGAAUCCCUAUAAGCGAGUGAUGCGACAAGAUUCAGAGUGUGUAAGUGUAGAUCAUGUAAAUGUGUUGAUGAGAGUGUAAGUGUUUAGUAUAUUGGACACAAACGUUGGGAGUGACGUAGCUAAGAGAUUUUGUCACUCCAUGCGCCUCGUUGCUUCAGGGAUGGGGCACAGGCAUUUUCACUGUAUCCUGGCUAACAAGCCUAGACUUAAGCGCCAUUGGUCGCUUUCUGAAACGAAAAGAAACUCGUUUUGUGGAUGGGAAGGGAUAGUAGGGUAAGGAUGAUAUCUAUUUAUCGAGGUGCCAGCGACUCACCGACGCCCUCAAAAUAGAAAGGAGUUGGGAGUUUGAUACAGGAAUGAUCUGGAAUUAAGUAUGAGUUAUGCCACUGGAUUAUCAUAAAUUUAUAUAUGUAGUUUGAUAUAUUAAAAUAAAGUCUCUUUAAAUGAUUGCAUUUAUGUAUAUAUCACAGUAUGGUAACAAAGCGCUUACUGAAUGAAGCAGAACAAUUCGCAAUAGGCAAGUUAGCGUCACAUACAGACCGCGCCCUCCUAAGCCACUUUACAACACAUUCACACACUCACACUGGCUACUUAUCUGAUUUCUAGCGCGGAAUGAGGCUGCUCCAGGGGGAACAAGAUGACGAUAAAAAGCAUCCAUGGAUCCAAUGAUAGGUAAUCGCUCACCGUGUGAACGUCGGUGUCAGCUGCUCGCAGGAGGAUCGGGUCCGCACAGCUCCUAGACCCCAUACAGAUAAUUCAGACGCCUAUUUUUUAGCUGCCACAAGUCGGCAACAGCACUUUGCACACGCGCGCGGAUGAAAGCUACAAUCGAAAGUUCAUCGAGCACACAAUGCACCCAAGCCAAAAAUAUUACAGAUACAACUUUUCUACUGGCCUGAUCAAGCACCCACGGUUUACUCGCGGAACACGGUUUACACUGGCCAUUUUCUAUAACGCAAGCACACACAAAAACUUGAUUCCAAUUUUCCUAAAUUAAAAAAAAAAACAAAACCAGCACAAAAGAAACGUGACCUGGAUAAAACUUUAAUAGCAUGUCUAGAUAAAUUGGUGGAAACAUCUCCAGAGAUAUCUUUAUGAAUGAGUUCUACAAAUAUUAAAGGAGUUUCUGAAAAAUCUCUGAAGGAAUAACUCAACAAAUCUGUGAGAGGAACUCCUGGACAAAUCUUUGGAAAAAUUCCUGGAGCAAUCUCUUAAAAACUCUUGGAGUUACAUAUCUCUGGAAAAUUGCCAGAAACGGAUCAAUAUUUGGAAAAAAAAAUCUUGAAGAAAUUUCGGGAGAAACGCCUGGAGAAAUAAUUGGCAGACAAUUAAACGUUCCAUAAUAAAUACAAAAUUUUCCAUAAAUAAUUCAAAAAGUCCCAGUGAAGAAACAGGGCUGUAAGCAGUAAUAAAUAACAAAAGUUACAUAAACAAAUAAAAUAAUGCAUAAAUAAUUCAAAAGUUUCAAUAAAUAAUUGAUUUUUGAGCAAUUAAAAACGUCAAAAAUGCAAUGAAUAAAUCAACUGUUGCAAUAAAAAAAGCCAUUUUUCCCUCCAAAUAACUUCGAAUUUUCCAUAAAUAAAUCUGAUUUUUCCAUAAUAAAUUAGAAAAUUCACAAUAAAAAAAUAUCGAAUAAGCAAUAAAAAAUUCAAAAAAUGUAAUAAAAAAUGACGAAAUUACCCAUGAAAAACAAAUGCAGGAAAUUAUGAGACAGUGAAAUGCUGAAUCGCACUUAUAUGACUGAAACGACUGAAAAGCUUGCGUAACUAUGAUUGCAAUUUAUCGAGCAAUUGCUUGCUGUCCGAACUCGCUAUCGCUCGUCGGACCUAAAAAAGGAAUAACAUCUAUGUUUGCAUUACUCCGGGCAAAUUCUUGGAUCUGUGGUUUGCCUAGAACUGAAUCGAUGCAGUUACGGUGCAUCGGAUAUCGGAAACUUCGGCGGCCUUCUGCCGCCUCAGUUCCUCAAUCCUCUAUGCGGCUUCGCCGCAUGGUCUACUUGAAUUUUUGGCUCAAAAUGCAUUUACGUUUAUUGCUCAUUUUUUGACAUUUAUUAAUUAUUUAUUUUUUCGUUUAUUGCACUUUUUGAACUAUUUAUUGCUUUAUCGAUAUUUUUUUAUUGUGAAUUUUCUAAUUUAUUAUGGAAAAAUCGGAUUUAUUUAUGGAAAAUUCGAAGUUAUUUGGUGGGAAAAAUGGCUUUUUUUAUUGCAACAGUUGAAUUAUUCAUUGCAUUUUUGACGUUUUUAAUUGCCCAAAAAUCAAUUAUUUAUGGAAACUUUUGAUUUAUUUAUGCAUUUUUUUAUUUGUUUAUGGAAAUUUUGUUAUUUAUCACUGCUUGCACCCCUGUUUCUUCACUGGAACUAUUCAUUAAGAAUGAUGACUUUCUUAUGAGUCGUUUAUAUUUUAGCCAGAAAUAAUUAGAGAAACCAUUGAUUAUUCUCUGGAAGAUUUUUUUUAUCACCUGGACGAAUGAUGCUCUGGAACAAUCCAUAAAAAAAACCUUCGGAAUAAUGCUAGGAGCAAUCUUUUGAGGACAUUCUAUAUGAGUCCUUGGAAGAAUUUCUGGUGUAAUCUCCAAAGAAGUUUUCUGACGAAUUCCUGAAGGAAGCUUUGGAAAAUGCCCUGGAAUGUUUAGCCAAUUCCUGAAAAAAAAAAAAAAUGGAAGAACUCCUUGAGGGGUUCCUGCUAGGAUUUUCGGAAGAAUCUCUGACAGAAUCCCAGAAGCAAAAAAAAACUCUGGCGUUAUUCCUGGACAAACUCUGAAACAAUUAUUCCAGAUAAUCCUGGAAAAACCUGGGUUAUCCUUAAAAAAAAUAUGAGUGGAAUCGCUAAAAAAAUCUCUAGAGGGAUCCAUGGAAGAGUCUUUGGAGGAGUCUUUGGAGGAGUCUGGAAAAACUCUUCAAGGAAACUCCGGAAGGCCUGUAGGAAUUUCAGAAAGAAUACUUGGAGCAUCUCUUUAGGAAUCAAUGAGGAAUCAUUGGUGGAAUUCUUUCAGCAAUUGCAUUUAGGAAUAUUUGAAGAAAUUAUUUGAUCAGAGAAAUUAACUCUGAAUUGCAUUGGAACAGAAUUUUAGCGUCCUCAGCGGACGUGGAUCCAAUAGUCAUCAACUUCACCCCACCGAUCAACUACCUCCAGGUUACGGUAUUAUGUAUUCGCUUUCGGGAAAUAAAGCGACUGAAUAAAAAGUUCUAAGUGAGAGGAGGCCCCAAAUUCAUGACCAUCCUCUUACGAAGCAAAAGUGUAGCCAACUACGCCAAUGACCCCUAAAAUGAAUCUUUGGUUUCCAAUAGUAUCCGAUUACGUGAAAAGGAUGGAAUCCAACCCACAGCUUUGAAACACAAUGCUGUUUUAAAAUUUAAAAAAACAGGACUGUGUUUUCCUAUCAUAGUAGUAAUGAAAGUCUUCUGCAGAAGAGCAUUGUGUAUCCACUCGAAAAGCGCCAAACAUCCCUGGAUCAGAAAAAUAAUGCCUACAGCGCCAGAAUUGAUGACGAACACGAGCCGUGGCGGCGACAUGCGACCCCACCACACCUAGGUAUUAGCCAUGGAAAAGGGGCUGUCGCGGUCGCUAAUUGGAGGGGGCGCCCGCCCGCGUCCAACUCAGAAACCUGAAACAUUAGGAUGGCUCUUAAUUAGCAUAUUUUUACUAUUUUCGUAAACAAUGGUCCUACCGCGCGUCCGCGUGAACGGAUAAAUAAACGUGAGCCGAUCGUGCGAUGAUCGGGGGUCCGGAGAUGAGAGACGGGGUUUUAGAAACGUGUUACUGGAAUGGGAGGGGAUAGCAGGGUGCGAUAGGACCCCGAGAGGCUACGACAAUAUUUGUGCCACUUUUGAAUAUGGUUCUUUGCGUGUACAAACGCGCACACACACAUACUCAUAUGCCUACCGGCAAGACACCGCACGUGUGCCCUCUAUUUGGUGUGCCGGGGCACUGUAAUUUAUUGCUUGGAUGGAUUAAAUUUUCGUAAGAUUUGCAUUUUGCGGCAAAUUAUGAGCUAUUUUUGGAAAGGGCACUGCCGUUUCCACGAAGGAGUAGAUUAAAAACCUUUGAUCGUAGAUUUACUCCCUACCCCCCGGCAAUUGUUGAUCACUCAUACUAAGUUGUUCCACGUGCUGCUAGAUGCUGUUUUUCAUCAUCUUCUUCUUGGCGUAACAUUUCUACUGGAACGAAACUUGAAACUCGGAUUAGUAUGAACACUUCCACAGGUAUGAAUCGAGAGCUUCCCCUGCCAAAGACCAUUUUGCAUGUAUAUCGUGUGGUAUGCACGAAGAUACUCUAUGUUUCACGGAAAAUAGUUCCUGGACCGACCACGAAUCGAAAGCAGAAUCCCAAGUUCAGGAGAAUGAAGGUUUAGGGCAUAAAAAAUGAUUUAUUUGCUUUGACACAUUUCCUGCAUAAACCCUGUUAAAGAGUAAAACUACACAUAAAAAUACAUACAAAUUCACUGAGAAAUCAUGCACAUAAACAAAAUGCCAGAUUUAAUGCACAUUUCCAUUACAUGCAUUGUAAACUUACAUUAUAAAGAACAUGUAAAUUUCAUGUACUAAUUUUAGCAUUCCCUUUUUUUUAUUCUUUAACAACUUAACCUAAUUUACCGCUCUUUUGUCCACUAGGGCACUGCGUGAGCGAUUCUAAUUGACAACUGCACUUACACUUCUGUACAGCGCCUAAAUGUACUCUAUUCUAAUUCUACUAUAUCACACUGGUUGCAUUUGCGCUGCUGUCACUUUUGUACCCUGUUCAUGGUAGAAUGAUGAGCACGAGGAUGUUGAUGUGUGGCUCUUGUUCCUCUUCCAGUCCGAUUGGGGAAUGGGGGUCCAUUACGAGUUGCCUUUAGCCGAUAUCCAAGUUUCCGGGUCCGUUAGAGCAUAUGCUCAGAAGAGGGUCACGUGUCAGCCGCUCUCGGGGGGAAGAGCAACUGACGAAAAAUUGCAAGUGCCGUAGCUGGGAUCGAACCCAUAACCAUCCACUUAUGAAGUGAACGUGUAGCCACGUGUAGGGCUUCGACUACAUUACCUUUAUGCGCAUGAUUUCUCGCUGAAUUUUACAUAGAUAUUCUGUUCUAUGUAAUUGUGCAGUGCACAGAUAAAACUUAAUAAGAACUACAUGUCAUGUAAGUUUAAUUACAGUCAUAUAAACUCUGCAUGAUUUAAUUUAUUUUAUGUCAUGUAAUCACUCUGAGGCAUGCUAAAUUACAUUUAUUGUUACACGUUCCUUCGACACUGUAUAGCAUUGUCAAUAUGAACGCAUGUCCUAAAUUAGAUGUACAGUAAACAUUCGAUAAAUGCAAUGUGCUUACGUUUCAGUUAAUGCACAAAGAUCUGAACAAUGUGAUCAUCAUGUUCUACUUAGCUCGAUUGAUUGGCACCAUAAGUGUAAUUCACAAUUAGUCAGGACACUAGAAUUGUCAUCGAACACAAACUGCAAACUCAAUUUGCAAUUCCUCAACUGCCAUAAACCCCUCGUCAUCAUCAUCAUCGUCGCCAUCAACAGGCUCGAAUAUGCGGCCGGCACAAUGAUCGUCGUUAUAAAAAUUUUCAUUACGGGCCAUAAAUUCAAUUGACCUAGAAAUGGAACAACGGAAAAUAAUACAAAAAUAGUCAAACAAAAUGUCAGUUCACCAGAAGCAGCCAGAGGGGGGAACCGGGGAUGCAUUGCUGUGGUGGGGGCAUCUCGUUGGCCUCCGUCCGUCGUCACCACACCACCACCACCGCCGUUGCAAAACCGCCCCAGCGAUCUCACGCGAGAGUGCGCUAUCGCCUCUAUUCAUAUUAAGUUAUUUGACAGCUCAAGAGAAUAAUUCUGGCACUCGUCGUCGUCGACGUCGUUGCCGUUUCUGCACACUGACUGUGCUUUAUAGCGCAACUGUAGAAAAGAGUCAAUAUUCGUCGGCUCAUUCCACCACCGCCCGUGUAUCCUCCGCACUAGAUGACUGCGGCGUCCAAUAAUAAUAAAAUCCAUCUCACGCAUUUAGCAGCGUUUUAGAGU